rnacentral:rRNA from 1 species
CACGUAGGGCGCAAGCGUUGUCCGGAAUUAUUGGGCGUAAAGAGCUCGUAGGCGGUCUGUUGCGUCCGCUGUGAAAACUCGGGGCUUAACCCCGAGCCUGCAGUGGAUACGGGCAGACUAGAGGUAGGUAGGGGAGAAUGGAAUUCCCGGUGUAGCGGUGAAAUGCGCAGAUAUCAGGAGGAACACCAAUAGCGAAGGCAGCUCGCUGGGACGGUACUGACGCUAAGGCGCGAAAGCGUGGGGAGCAAACAGG